CCUACGGGGGGCAGCAGUGGGGAAUAUUGGGCAAUGGGCGAAAGCCUGACCCAGCAACGCCGCGUGAAGGAAGAAGGCUUUCGGGUUGUAAACUUCUUUUGACAGGGAAGAGCAGAAGACGGUACCUGUCGAAUAAGCCACGGCUAACUACGUGCCAGCAGCCGCGGUAAUACGUAGGUGGCAAGCGUUAUCCGGAUUUACUGGGUGUAAAGGGAGCGUAGACGGCGAUGCAAGUCUGAAGUGAAAGGCGGGGGCCCAACCCCCGGACUGCUUUGGAAACUGUAUGGCUGGAGUGCAGGAGAGGUAAGUGGAAUUGCUAGUGGAGCGGGGAAAUGCGUAGAUAUUAGGAGGAACACCGGCGGCGAAGGCGGCCUGCUGGACCGCGACUGACGUUGAGGCUCGAAAGCGUGGGGAGCGAACAGGAUUAGAUACCCCAGUAGUC
rnacentral:rRNA from 1 species